rnacentral:rRNA from 1 species
GACGAACGCUGGCGGCGUGCUUAACACAUGCAAGUCGAACGGAAAGGCCCUGCUUUUGUGGGGUGCUCGGGUGGCGAACGGGUGAGUAACACGUGAGUAACCUGCCCUUGACUUUGGGAUAACUUCAGGAAACUGGGGCUAAUACCGGAUAGGAGCUCCUGCUGCAUGGUGGGGGUUGGAAAGUUUCGGCGGUUGGGGAUGGACUUGCGGCUUAUCAGCUUGUUGGUGGGGUAGUGGCUUACCAAGGCUUUGACGGGUAGCCGGCCUGAGAGGGUGACCGGCCACAUUGGGACUGAGAUACGGCCCAGACUCCUACGGGAGGCAGCAGUGGGGAAUAUUGCACAAUGGGCGGAAGCCUGAUGCAGCAACGCCGCGUGCGGGAUGACGGCCUUCGGGUUGUAAACCGCUUUCGCCUGUGACGAAGCGUGAGUGACGGUAAUGGGUAAAGAAGCACCGGCUAACUACGUG